rnacentral:rRNA from 1 species
GGUUUUCUGAGGUUAGAUAGAAAAUCUGACCUGCUCACUGAUGCUAAUUAAAGAGCUGCAGUAUAUUGACUGUACAAAGGUAGCAUAAUCAUUAGUCUUUUAAUUGGAGACUGGAAUGAAAGGUUGGACAUACUUAGACUGUCUCUGAUUUAAUAAAUGAAUUUAUUUAUUUGUGAAAAAACAAAGAUUAGCUAAAGGGACAAGAAGACCCUAUCAAACUUGGUUUAGACAAAAAUAUUUUUAUAGAGAUAAAAAUAAUAUUGAGGUUAAAAUUUACUGGGGCGGUAAGUAUUAAUCUAUAUUAUAAUAUAACAUAAUGGAUGGAAAAUGUAAGGAUCCAAUGGAUUGAGAUUAAGAAAUAGUUACUGUAGGGAUAACAGCGUGAUAUUUCUUGAGAGUUCAUAUUGACAGAGAUGUUUGCGACCUCGAUGUUGGAUUAAGGAUUCUUUUUGAUGUAGCUGUCAAUUAAGAUGGUCUGUUCGACUAUUAAAUUCUU